UGGGGAGCGUCGCUGCACAGCUAUUUUCAGGUCUCCAUGUAAAUAAGCCCUACUGUUGAGGACCCUCUGCCUGCUUUAGGCCAGAUGCAGGAUGGCAGAAUAGUACAUCGUACCAGACUGGACUGUACCAAAUGUGUGCAGCACAGUGAGGAAGCUGUGAAGUUCUGCCAGGAUUGCAAGGCUACUUUCUGUGAGAACCAUGUUAGAGACCACUACCAGGCCCCAGGACUGAUGAAACACACAUUGGUGGAGGCCACUGAAGGAAGGAAAACCAUUACAAAUGUAGAUGAUCAGGUCCAUGAAACGUAUGUUGAAACAGAACAAACUGUGACUCGGGUAGAGUUUCGUUCUUCUCCAGUGAAAUGUCUAUUCGGUCCCCUGAUAGAAAUUGUCAAGAAAGGUAUUGACUAAUUGUAAACCUCUGAAAACAAAACAAGUUUGCAGAUGAAAAUGAUAAGUUCAUUUAUUAAUUGAUUUCAUUGAUUAAUUGUUAGAAGUUGUUUUAUAUAUUCUUUAAGAACAUAUCUCCCAUUAUAACCUGGUGUUUAGAGAAAUAUAAGAUACCUGCACUUUCUCCAAUGGGUGAACAAAUAAUGCAGUGUCAUGUAUUAUGCAAUAUAAAG
rnacentral:lncRNA from 1 species